UUUUAAGUUGGUUUCAUC
rnacentral:snRNA from 1 species